rnacentral:snRNA from 1 species
CUUCAUUCCUGAACGUAUGUUAACACUGGAACAAUACAGAAAAGAUUAGCAUGGCCCCUACGCAAGGAUGACACGAAAAUUCAUGAAACGCUCCAAAUUAAG